AUUGAACGCUGGCGGCAUGCCUUACACAUGCAAGUCGAACGGCAGCACGGGAGCAAUCCUGGUGGCGAGCGGGGAACGGGUGAGUAAUAUAUCGGAACGUGCCCAGUAGUGGGGGAUAACUGCUCGAAAGAGCAGCUAAUACCGCAUACGACCUGAGGGUGAAAGGGGGGGAUCGCAAGACCUCUCGCUAUUGGAGCGGCCGAUAUCAGAUUAGCUAGUUGGUGGGGUAAAGGCCUACCAAGGCAACGAUCUGUAGUUGGUCUGAGAGGACGACCAGCCACACUGGGACUGAGACACGGCCCAGACUCCUACGGGAGGCAGCAGUGGGGAAUUUUGGACAAUGGGCGCAAGCCUGAUCCAGCAAUGCCGCGUGCAGGAAGAAGGCCUUCGGGUUGUAAACUGCUUUUGUCAGGGAAGAAAUCCUCUAGGUUAAUACCCUUGGGGGGAUGACGAUACCUGAAGAAUAAGCACCGGCUAACUACGUGCCAGCAGCCGCCGUAAUAC
rnacentral:rRNA from 1 species